rnacentral:snoRNA from 1 species
UCCUUGUAUCUCUCCCAUGCAUCAUAGAGUGUUUCUAGAUCCAUCUGCACAAAAGAAGAGAUAUCAUUCCUUAAUUU